rnacentral:rRNA from 1 species
CCAGACUCCUACGGGAGGCAGCAGUGGGGAAUAUUGCACAAUGGGGGAAACCCUGAUGCAGCGACGCCGCGUGAGCGAUGAAGUAUUUCGGUAUGUAAAGCUCUAUCAGCAGGGAAGAAAAUGACGGUACCUGACUAAGAAGCCCCGGCUAACUACGUGCCGGCAGCCGCGGUAAUACGUAGGGGGCAAGCGUUAUCCGGAUUUACUGGGUGUAAAGGGAGCGUAGACGGCUGUGCAAGCCAGAUGUGAAAGCCCGGGGCUCAACCCCGGGACUGCAUUGGAAACUGCCGAACUAGAGUGUCGGAGAGGCAAGUGGAAUUCCUAGUGUAGCGGUGAAAUGCGUAGAUAUUAGGAGGAACACCAGUGGCGAAGGCGGCUUGCUGGACGAUGACUGACGUUGAGGCUCGAAAGCGUGGGGAGCAAACAGGAUUAGAUACCCGUGUACAC